rnacentral:lncRNA from 1 species
GCUUCUGGAUCGGCGCCAGCGAGCCGGUGAUGGCGAUCUUGACCCCGCGCCGCAUGAUCUCAACAAGAAGCCGCGCCGUGUUGCGCGCGUCGUCGAGUCCGCAGUGCAGGCGGCCCUCCCAGUCCAGUCCCGCCGCCCGCACCGCCUCCUGCAGGUUGACCCGCCCUCCGCCACCGAAAGCCGCCUGGAAGGGGAUCCUCAGGUUGAUCCAGCGAUCAAAGUAGGAGGGCUUCUCGAUCCCCUUGAAUCGACACUCGAACUCCAGCAUGGUGCGACAAUCCCAGUCCCCCCAGGUCACGAC